rnacentral:rRNA from 1 species
CAGCAGCCACGGUAAUACGUAGGUGGCAAGCGUUGUCCGGAAUUAUUGGGCGUAAUGGGCUCGCAGGCGGUUUCUUAAGUCUGAUGUGAAAGCCCCCGGCUCAACCGGGGAGGGUCAUUGGAAACUGGGAAACUUGAGUGCAGAAGAGGAGAGUGGAAUUCCACGUGUAGCGGUGAAAUGCGUAGAGAUGUGGAGGAACACCAGUGGCGAAGGCGACUCUCUGGUCUGUAACUGACGCUGAGGAGCGAAAGCGUGGGGAGCGAACAGGAUUAGAUACCCCCGUAGUCCCUGUCUCUUAUAC